GCUCGCUGUUUGGGCCUCGGAGUGUUCAGGGCUUCGCCCCUGGUCAGGAUCUGUGUCAGGCUGCGACGCAUCUGCCAGAGUGCUCUGGAGUGCUGUUGGGAGUGAGUGGCACAUUUUCUGAUGUGCUUGGAGCCUGGGGCACGAUGUCAGGAGGCUGGCAGCCUCUCAAGAGAACCAGUGACAGGAGAAGAAGAAAGGCCACUUGUGGCUGGGUCUCUGUCCUGAGCAAGCUGCUUAUCUCUAACCGGAAUAGAACAGCCAGCUGUGGCAGUUGCCAGGUGGCAGGUCUUUCAAGGACGGCCCCUUGACUUAUGGCUCCCAACACCCACCCUUCCUUCUGCCUUCUCUUCCACAUAGAUUCCUGAGCCCUGAGGGAAGGUGUUUGAUGACAUCUCAGUAAAGACUGAGUGUUCCAGAACCUUUCACUCUCCGCAUUGACCAGAUGUGGUUCUCUGAGUUCCUUCCCAACUUUUGCAAAAGGAAGCUUCCCAGAUGAUGGCUAAGCAAAGGCACUGAUCUGAGUCACAGCCCAGUGUGUCUGACUUCUACUUAGAAAAAAAAAAGUAAAGCAUAAACAAAUAAACCUACCCCAAACACCUCAGAACAAAACAGUUUGAUCUUGUGAACAUCCCCACAGUGUGUAUGUAAAGUUAGUGCAAAAAUUUAUGUUUUUCUCUUGUUAAACAAGAAAGCGAUUAGCUGUGCUCUUAUAUCUAGCAAAGAGCCCAUCUAGGCAUUAAGUGAGCCACAGGGCAUGACCAUCCCUACCCUGUUCCAAAUAGGAAGAACCCUCCUGGCUUCUCCAAAUGAUGACGACCUCCCAACAGCCGUUUGUCUUUGUCUGCCAUUCCAGGCUCAGCCUCUUGUUCUUGCAACUAGUUAGACCUUGUGCUGAGUCACCCAUAUGGCGAAGGCCUAACCACCAGGCUGGGCAUUCCUUCCUCUAGCUUCCUCCUCAACAGACCGUAGCCUCAAGAGGGUCCUGGUGCUGCCCAUGUCAGGGGUAGAGUGGAAUGGACACGGGGAGUGUUUGUCCCCUAGCAUCCCAACAUGAAAACAAAACAGCUCAUUCAUUAGGCAUGCAGGGACAGCCAUUGAAAUGUCCAUGUGAGUAUAAACCCUUUCCAAAGAGCCAAAGUCAGCACAUCGUGUCAGGAACAUGGACAUAUUUUGUGUUUUUCCAUGAUGUCAGAGUUUAUUGAAUAAA
ensembl:lncRNA